rnacentral:lncRNA from 1 species
UGAAAAAAGAGGAAAGUAUGGGCUCGAGAAUGGAUUCUCAGGUGUGGCCAAUUAGGUGCCUCUUCCAAAUUUCUGCGUGAGGUUGAAAGUGAAGGUAAGAAUACAUUUAAAAACUACCUACGAUUGACCUCUAUUCAAUUUGAUGAACUUUUAAGACAUGUUAAAUCUAAAAUUCAAAAAUGUGUCAACGAAUCUGAUGGUUUCAGCUUCGCUCCACUUACGCGAUCGUCGUUUACUGCUUUCCGCCAUCUUAAAAACUUCCAAUCGUCUGCCACUUGGUCCGAGUAUUUUGGUUAUCAUCCAAGUUUACUCUACUUGGAUGAAAUGGUCCGAGUGGAUGCGCACGCAUCGUCCGAGUGAACUCGAUCAGAGUGUACUCUGAUCGUGUCAACC